rnacentral:RNase_P_RNA from 1 species
AUGGCAGGCUGUCUUAUUGCUCUUUAAAAGGAGAGGAAAGUCCGGACACCACAGAGCGGUAUAGCGGGUAACACCCGUCAUUCAUUUUGAAUAGGACUAGUGCAACAGAAAGUAUGUACAGUUAGGCUGUAGUGAAAUCGGUAAACUCUAUACGGUGCAACGCCAAGUAGGAUUGCUUUUGAAUUGCUCGUUCAGUGUAAUUGGGUAGGCGGCUAGAAUUUCUCAGAAAUGAGGAAUCAAGAUAAAUGAUAAGACUAGACAGAAUCCGGCUUAUAGGCCUGCCUUUUUU